GUGAGCCGUGCUCUCCGUUCCCAGCUCCGUCACUGCUCUGCUCCUGGGCACCCGCGGCAUCUGGCCACGGGCGAUGAGUUAAUCCCCUGACGGUACGGCCGAGAGCAUGCGCUUACCCGAGAGUCUCUCUUAAGGUUACAAAGCUUUCUUUCUAUCUCCUAUUUGUUUUUCCUGUUUAAUUCCAGGUUAGUGAAGCUCUUUUGCUGUUCCAAGCAGCAGCGAAGCACGCAGCCUCCUCCUUCCUUGAGUCUGAAUUCCAGCCAUGCUUUUCCCAAGGGGGAAAAAAAAAAAGAGUUUUAACUGCACUGCUGGACUUGUAAAAAUGAGCAAGGUUUGAUUUUUUGGGGAAAAAUCCAGAUUUUUACUUAAAGCCACGAUACAGAGCAAUUUAAAUUCAACCCCUUAGAAUACACAUCUGUGAAAAGUCUGUGCCGUCCCCUGUAACACCUCUCGCUGGUUUUUUCCACCCCGGGUGUCUGCAGCCGUACUAUCAGUUUCACAGUUUCCUGCAGUUCCUAUGCACUAAGUUCAUUUUGUUUGGCUGGGUUUUUUUUUUUUUGUUUUUUUUUGGGUUUUUUUUUGUCAUAAGAAAACACAAAAAGGAAGGGGGGGGAAGAACACUUUUAAAAAUAGGAAAAUGUUUGCAGUGUUACAAUCGCUUUGGCAGUGGCUCGAGACAAACGCAGCGCCGAAACCACUCUGCAAGCCUGCUGAAAUUCAAUCGGCAAUCCUUUCUUUUGGUGUUUGUGUGAAAAUAGGAGAACAUAUAUUGGUAGCGAUUUGCACCGAGUCUUUUGCUCUGUAGCUGUCGAGAAAACUAUAAAAGCAAUGUACUGCACCCGUUAUUAUGAGCGAUGCCGCAGGAAGUCUGCUUCGAUAAAGAGUUGCCAGCUCGCUAUUGCAAGUUAAAGGUCUUAAAGUUAAAUGUCUUAAAGCCAGGACAGCUGGAGUCACCUAAUUAUAUGAGAAAUUCUGCUUUCACUUACAGCGCAGUGCUUGUUGGUGCGGGGAGCAGACGUAACGUUAAUUGGAAGGUUAACUAGAGAUUGCAAACUGGAACUCAAGGAUUGUUUGUGCUUAAAAAAAAUAAAAUAAAAAAAUCUUACUGGCUUUGAAAUAAAACCACCAGAGCAAAACGCCCCAUGAUCCAAAAAUUCCUCUUGACUUUAAGUGCCGGGUCGGUAACAGGGGAGAAGCUCAGCACCCGGCACCGGUAACGGGGCUUGGUGUCACUGGGAGCGGUGGUACAGCAGACCUGGCGUGAGCCUUUUCCCCUGCGCCGGGUGGUACUGCACGGCAAUGUGGAGUUUGUACCCACCAGCUGGCUUUUAAUCUGAAUUCUCUUUGAAAUUUCCCUUGCAGGGUCUCUCCCCGCAGCUCACGGGAGGCGUUGCUCAGCAGACUCCAACAACCAACUGUUUUUUUCUUUUUUUUGACUCUGAGUUUGUCCAGUUUCAGAUCUGCAGCUUUAUUAUUAGCAACCCCUUUUGCAUGUGGUUUGCCCAUCACCUGCUUGACACCUGUAGAGAAAACCAGUUUCCUCCUGUGCUGCUGUAUGACGAGAGGCUCAACCGACGGUCCAUCCACGCGGCAGUGACGCCCACGGGACCCUUUCGGUUGCCCAUACUACAUUUUUUUUUUUUUUUUUAGAGUUUGGUCACCUUAAAGGGCUAUUACAAUAAAUUGCCUCUUUUGCCUCCCCCAUUCUUCAUCGGUCUGUUCUUCAUAUAGGAAAAUGAGAGCGGAAAUGCCUCUGAAGGAAGCUCAUACCCAACGGCAGAGAUGGGAGGUGUGUGCGUACGGAGAACACGGGCACGAGAGAUGUUCUGCUGCCGAGACCCCACGUCCUGCUGUCGGUACCAGACGUCCAGGAGCCCGGUCGGCGCUGGUGUGGAAGGAAAAGGAUACGCAAUAACUUACUAGCGAGCGCUGCCGUAUCUCCCUGUCACGACACUUGCAGGACUCGUUAUCCGCACUUCCCUACCCUCCUCCAAAUUACCUGUGUGUUCUCCUUCCGCUUAAUGAGAGGGGACGGGUUUCUGCAAGCUGCUGAGAAAAUUGCUGCGCCCUUGGCCAACAGGAGGAGGCGAAGAAGAAGGAAGGAGGAGGCGAAGAAGAAGGAAGGAGGAGGCGAAGAAGAAGGAAGGAGGAGGCGAAGAAGAAGGAAGGAGGAGGCGAAGAAGAAGGAAGGAGGAGGCGAAGAAGAAGGAAGGAGGAGGCGAAGAAGGAAGGAAGGAAGGAGGCGAAGAAGGAAGGAGGAGGCGAAGAAGAAGGAAGGAGGAGGCGAAGAAGAGUGAGCCUCACAGGGCAAGGAGAUGGUCAACAUGCAGCACCUUGGAAACAAAUGGGGACCAGUUCAGCCUACCCAGAGGUUUGCAAAGGGCAAAAUUAAUUCAUUCUACCCAGAUGUUUGCUUGAAUAAAGUUUUUAAUAAGGUUCCUCCUAUGCACAGCAGCCUUGGGCUGACUUAUUCAUAAACCAGCUCUUUUGUGUGCUUUGAUAAGGGUAUAUCUGCAAUAAAUGGUGUAAAAAGUAAAUAAAAACACCC